AUUCCCACUACUCCACAUUUCUGCAGAUUCUCUUCCUACAACUGUUUUUUCAGGCAUGCAUUGAAGCUUUACCAUCUAACUUUGGGAGCAUUUUAAAGAAGGCUGCAGUCCAGGUCUGGUCUUUAACUUUCAGACUAUAUUUUAUUCCAGACUUUUUCUCCUGUCCCAUCCCAUAUCACUGGUCCCUACGUGGCCUUUCACCCCCUCCAUGAAUUUCUAGAGAGACCAUCAAGGCAUGGUACUUUUGAGGGUGGAUACUUUUACAGCUCUCAUUUACUUCAUCAUGCGGUCCUGUUAUACAACAACCCCCUUUCUGACUCACCCAUAAUUGUUGCUUUGGGUUUUUAACUCAGAUGGGUUCCUGCUUCAGAGAGGAUAUCCUUGCUAAAAGAAGGUUGUGUAUUGCAUUAUUUACUAAUUUAUGUGACCUGCCUUGUCACUGCCAAGUUAGGAAACCAAACCUGUUCUGUUGCCUUGGUGUUCAAUUCAGUUUAAAUAUUACAGGUAGUGUGAUUUGCAUGUUCUAGUAUUUAGUUGAAGCGCAUCGUAGACCUAGAAAGUUAAUUGUUUUGUAUGUCUUCUCUGCAUUUUUCCAAUGUUUGGGAAGAUGAUGGACUACUUUUGUCCAUCUUUUCUCCUAGGUAGGUCACUGGAGCCUUACUUUUGCUUAUCUCUAAAGAGAUAUGUUUGUAACUUAUAACUUGUUGUAGGGAACUCACUGUCUAACACAAACAGUCUUUUCUUGCCCUUGAGGCAUGUGUCACAAUUGAUGGGCUGGAUGGGGCUCUGAGCAACCUGGUCUGGUGGGAGGUAUCCCUGCCCAUGGCAGGUGGAUUGGAACUAGGUGAUCUUUAGGAUUCCUUCCAACUCAAAACAUCUGUGAUUCUAUAUGAUUGUUCUCAGUAAAAGUUUCUAGCAGGACACAAUAAAUGUUCAGGAGUGGGUUGGGAUUUUUUUUUGUUUUGGUUUUUGUUUGUUUUUGGUUUUUGUUUUGUCCCCCCUUCUAUUUAUGUCCA